UUGACCUCGGAUCAGGUAGGGAUACCCGCUGAACUUAAGCAUAUCAAUAAGCGGAGGAAAAGAAACCAACAGGGAUUGCCUCAGUAACGGCGAGUGAAGCGGCAACAGCUCAAAUUUGAAAUCUGGCUCUUUCAGGGUCCGAGUUGUAAUUUGUAGAAGAUGCUUUGGGUGUGGCUCCGGUCUAAGUUCCUUGGAACAGGACGUCAUAGAGGGUGAGAAUCCCGUAUGUGACUGGCUGCCUUCGCCUAUGUAAAGCUCUUUCGACGAGUCGAGUUGUUUGGGAAUGCAGCUCAAAAUGGGUGGUAAAUUUCAUCUAAAGCUAAAUAUUGGCCAGAGACCGAUAGCGCACAAGUAGAGUGAUCGAAAGAUGAAAAGCACUUUGGAAAGAGAGUUAAACAGUACGUGAAAUUGUUGAAAGGGAAGCGCUUGCAACCAGACUUGCACGCGGUUAAUCAUCUGGUGUUCUCACCGGUGCACUUGACCGUGUUCAGGCCAGCAUCGGUUCAGGUGGCGGGAUAAAGGCCUUGGGAAUGUAGCUUCUUUCGGGGAGUGUUAUAGCCCUCGGUGCAAUGCCGCCUACCUGGACCGAGGCCC
rnacentral:rRNA from 1 species